CACACAAUGUCCACUGAUCGAUUAUAAUACACCACAAAACGGAGAUUCAGAGCCGAUGCGAUGAAAUGCCAAAACAAACUACACAACCAACAACUAAUUAGCCACUAAGACUGCUGAAUAUAUGGCUGAGCAUGGGCGACUUUCUCACAGCCCUAUCGCACCUUCCAGCAUCGAAACACCCCCUACCAUAGCCACAUCACAAAAGUGAACUACAUUCAUAGACUCUAUAAUUGCAGAAACGUCUAACGAACGCAAAGUGUUUUAGAAGAAAGAACCAUUGUUGAAGGUAAAAUUACUUAUGACUAAUAUUGGACUCUAAAAGAACAUUUGACUAUAGCGAAUAUUAAAAUAUGUGGGGGACUAUUUUGCGAUAUCACAAACCGGAAGAAGACAUACUCCGCCAAGAGCUCGUGAUGCAUCUUACGUCACACCAAAGGAGCUGAAUUUGAGUGUUGCUCUUGAUGGUUAAAGGCGUGUGAUGGAGUUAUUGAAAGUUGCAGUACAUUUAUAAUGGCAUACAUUGGGAAAUUCACAGAUAGAAGCCCCUCUAUAAGAGCGAUUUGAAGGGACGGAGCCAUGUCUGAUGUAGCUCAAGCUGGCGGACUGAUUAAUGCGUGAUUUCUAAUCAGUUGCAUUUAUUUAAAGUUCUUUAAUUAUUUAUUGUUUUGAAACUUAUCAACUUGUUUACACUGAUUCUCUCACUGUUCCUUGUACCUGAAAGUCAUGUGUAUGAAUGUUAAAACUUUUUGUAAUGUUGUGUAAUUUUCAGUAAUGGAAUUACUAAAAAUGUUAUAGUGGCUUUGCAACAUCUGGUUUGAUUUGUUUAUUUGGUCACUGUUAAAAUACUGUUAAGACAAAUAAAUAUUAUGAAAAGUU